UCCAUUUUACCCAGAACUGAACCCUCUUAUGGUUUGUUUUUAUAUUCUGAGCAUAGUGACCCAUAUAAGUAACAGUUUCUCUUUCCUUGCCUUUCAGAACCUUUAGUGCCAAGUUUUAGCUAAGCUAUACCCUCUCUUCCUUUACUCUGUGGUUUUUUGAAUCCCGAGCCACUAAGUCAUGUCUCAAACAUUUUUGAGAACGUUUUAGGGAAUCUAGUCCGCCGUGAGAACAGGACCUUGAUGGGGCUAUGCUCUCAGCUCGUGUCAUGUCCCAGAAUGAGAGCGCACACAGAACAAAGACAGGCAGCGUCCCAGCUGACCUCCAGACUCAUACGUGAGAAAUAAAUACUUGUUGUCGAGGUCAGAAACUUCAUGGGCAGAGCUUGAAAGGUAAGAGGCACUUGUGGAAAACAACUGAUGAAAGACCAAAGAAGACAAUGGGCUCGAGGAUUUCACCAUAGGAAUCCCUGGGGCCCCUGGCACUUCCAGCCUGGACCUCCUGGGGCAGAUGGACAGAUGGACAGAUGGACAACUGCUGGGAUAAGUCCAGGCUGAAUAUAUACUUUGAAGUGGCACAUUAAUUUUUUUCUGAUUUUUCUGAUUUUUUUUUGUCAUUCCAGCUGAAUCUGGAAGUAGCCAAGUAUAAUUCACAAAGGCAUAUACAAAUAUAACCUAUACUUCAGGUGGAUUUGAUCGAGG